rnacentral:rRNA from 1 species
CACGUAGGGCGCAAGCGUUGUCCGGAAUUAUUGGGCGUAAAGAGCUCGUAGGCGGUCUGGUUGCGUCCGCUGUGAAAACUCGGGGCUUAACCCCGAGCCUGCAGUGGAUACGGGCAGACUAGAGGUAGGUAGGGGAGAAUGGAAUUCCCGGUGUAGCGGUGAAAUGCGCAGAUAUCGGGAGGAACACCGGUGGCGAAGGCGGUUCUCUGGGCCUUACCUGACGCUGAGGAGCGAAAGCGUGGGGAGCGAAC